rnacentral:rRNA from 1 species
GAUGAACGCUGGCGGCGUGCCUAAUACAUGCAAGUCGAGCGAACAGACGAGGAGCUUGCUCCUCUGACGUUAGCGGCGGACGGGUGAGUAACACGUGGAUAACCUACCUAUAAGACUGGGAUAACUUCGGGAAACCGGAGCUAAUAACGGAUAAUAUAUUGAACCGCAUGGUUCAAUAGUGAAAGACGGUUUUGCUGUCACUUAUAGAUGGAUCCGCGCCGCAUUAGCUAGUUGGUAAGGUAACGGCUUACCAAGGCAACGAUGCGUAGCCGACCUGAGAGGGUGAUCGGCCGCACUGGAACUGAGACACGGUCCAGACUCCUACGGGAGGCAGCAGUAGGGAAUCUUCCGCAAUGGGCGAAAGCCUGACGGAGCAACGCCGCGUGAGUGAUGAAGGUCUUCGGAUCGUAAAACUCUGUUAUUAGGGAAGAACAAAUGUGUAAGUAACUAUGCACGUCUUGACGGUACCUAAUCAGAAAGCCACGGCUAACUACGUG